AAAAAAAAAAGAAAAAGAAAAAAAAAAUCCAGGCUCUUGGACUAUUUUUGUAUAUGCUGUGCCCGCCCACGGAUGACUCUUUCACAAACAGGGCUUUAUCAAGGUGUGUCUGUUUGUCUUCCUAAGGUUCAGAGCAGCAAACGGCUCUCUGGAUCCAAUGGGGGCUGGGCAGCCGGACAAGAGGUUUCUCCUGGGACCACGAACAUGGAUAGUAGCUAGGUAGAGACACUGACACACAGAUAAGAAGCCCACCCGCUGGUUGAUAGAUAGACGGUUUGAUGCAGAGGUUGUUGACUGUGGGAGCGAGCCUUGGUGAUGAGAUGGGUUGGUGGCUGUCUGGAGCGAUGGAGAGGCUGGACAGUGAAAGCGCGCCUUUGAUUGGGUAAGCAGCCUCACUUGUCGCUGGAGGUGGAGAAUCUUGGCAGCGCAAUUGUACGGCAGCACAAGGCACUCCGCCGCACUCGCUCUACAGUAUUCAAAGGCUAUUAUUAUAUACGCGAAGGCGGAAAGUGGAUUAACACCCGGCCGGGAUCCUCACUCCCCUUUUAUUUUUUGGGAAUCUUCAAGCAAAUUAUUUAUUUGACUAGCUAUCAGGAACGAAACAGUGUAUUGCUGCGGAUUUCCUAGAACUCAAAAACGUUACGGUAAGAAAGUGUCAUUGUUUUUCUUCUUUUCUUUUCUCUGCUUUCCGCCCACCAAGGCAAUCAAAUGUCAGAUUAAUCAUGUAGUCAUUAUUCAUCACCCCACAGCAACCAAACAAAGCAUAAUACGUCAAUCAAUAAUGCAGCGGCAAGUCCAGUUUUUGGCCUCCUUCUCUACCCCGACCAUAUUCAAGCUGUGACAAAUGUCAAUUCCUGUCAAUUUGCUACAAACAAUAUUUUUUUCCCGGUGUUGGGCAGGGGCUUUUUGAUUUUCUAUCCAAAGGGACGGCUCUCCUUCCGGUACCUAUCCAUCAAUUCUUUUUCCUGUUCCCGCAGGUGCUGGAAAAAAGCUCGUACGUCCAACGGAUCGGGGUCUUUGCGGGGUGUUUUGCGAUACCAUUUGUCGCCCGUGGUUUUGAUAGCACCUCUCGUAACGGCAGAAUUCAAAGCGUCGCUUGCUGCUUUGGGAUUGCGGUUAUCUGGAUCGUUAGCCCCAUCAAAACGGGGUACGAAUCCGUAGGCAUUCACGUUAUACGAUGCUGUCGAAGUAGUUGCCUUUGGCUGCAAACCACCGUGAUGCGCCACUUGAUUCCAAGGACUGAAUGGAAACUCAUUGCUGCGUGGAGCAGUCUGUCUCGUUUCUUUGUCUCCAGCGGCUGCGUUCGAGGACACCAAAAUAUGCUGUUCCGGUACAGCUGUUUUGCCAGCGGGUGUGGGAGACAUGAUCUUACUAUCCUUACACAAAUUGUCAAGGCUACCACCAUCGUAGGUUAGCCGUUUCUCUUCGCUUGCCCCAGCGUUUUCAGUUCUGGUUCUAUUUCGACCAGAAUAAAUGUUGCUGAAUUCAGUCAGUAUAAGCUACCCGAUGAAGAGAGAUCGAUUUGACAAGAUGUCGUCGUAUUAUGUACUCACUUAUCAUCAUCUUUAUGUUUACUCCCAUUGUUGUCCUGUCCCGUAGUUCUGUGCAACGAAGUGUCCCAAUGCUUUUCGGGUGUUCGGAUGGUGG
rnacentral:sRNA from 1 species